AGUGAACGCUGGCGGUAGGCCUAACACAUGCAAGUCGAACGGCAGCACAGUAAGAGCUUGCUCUUACGGGUGGCGAGUGGCGGACGGGUGAGGAAUACAUCGGAAUCUACUUUUUCGUGGGGGAUAACGUAGGGAAACUUACGCUAAUACCGCAUACGACCUACGGGUGAAAGCAGGGGAUCUUCGGACCUUGCGCGAUUGAAUGAGCCGAUGUCGGAUUAGCUAGUUGGCGGGGUAAAGGCCCACCAAGGCGACGAUCCGUAGCUGGUCUGAGAGGAUGAUCAGACACACUGGAACUGAGACACGGUCCAGACUCCUACGGGAGGCAGCAGUGGGGAAUAUUGGACAAUGGGCGCAAGCCUGAUCCAGCCAUACCGCGUGGGUGAAGAAGGCCUUCGGGUUGUAAAGCCCUCUUGUUGGGAAAGAAAAGCAGCAGGUUAAUACCCCGCUGUUCUGACGGUACCCAAAGAAUAAGCACCGGCUAACUUCGUG
rnacentral:rRNA from 1 species